GAGUUUGAUCCUGGCUCAGAACGUACGCUGGCGGCACGCCUAACACAUGCAAGUCGAACGAAGUAGCAAUACUUAGUGGCAGACGGGUGAGUAACAUGUAGGUAUCUACCCUUUGGCCUGGAAUAACACGAGGAAACUUGUGCUAAUACCGGAUAAGUCUUUACGGAGAAAGCUUUAUGCACCAUUGGAUGAGCCUGCACUUGAUUAGUUUGCUGGUGGGGUAAUGGCCUACCAAGACUGUGAUCAAUAGCUGAUUUGAGAGGAUGAUCAGCCACAUUGGGACUGAGACACGGCCCAAACUCCUACGGGAGGCAGCAGUGGGGAACCUUGCACAAUGGAGGAAACUCUGAUGCAGCAAUGCCGUGUGAGUGAAGAAGGCCCUUGGGUUGUAAAGCUCUUUCGUCGGGGAAGAAAAUGACUGUACCCGAAUAAGAAGGUCCGGCUAACUUCGUGCCAGCAGCCGCGGUAAUACGAAGGGACCUAGCGUAGUUCGGAAUUACUGGGCUUAAAGAGUUCGUAGGUGGUUGAAAAAGUUAGUGGUGAAAUCCCAGAGCUUAACUCUGGAACUGCCAUUAAAACUUUUCAGCUAGAGUAUGAUAGAGGAAAGCAGAAUUUCUAGUGUAGAGGUGAAAUUCGUAGAUAUUAGAAAGAAUACCAAUUGCGAAGGCAGCUUUCUGGAUCAUUACUGACACUGAGGAACGAAAGCAUGGGUAGCGAAGAGGAUUAGAUACCCUCGUAGUCCAUGCCGUAAACGAUGUGUGUUAGACGUUGGAAAUUUAUUUUCAGUGUCGCAGCGAAAGCGAUAAACACACCGCCUGGGAGUACGACCGCAAGGUUAAACUC
rnacentral:rRNA from 1 species